AACGAACGCUGGCGGCAUGCCUAACACAUGCAAGUCGAACGAGACCUUCGGGUCUAGUGGCGCACGGGUGCGUAACGCGUGGGAACCUGCCCUUAGGUUCGGAAUAACUCCCCGAAAGGGGUGCUAAUACCGGAUAAUGUCUUCGGACCAAAGAUUUAUCGCCUUUGGAUGGGCCCGCGUUGGAUUAGCUAGUUGGUAGGGUAAAAGCCUACCAAGGCGACGAUCCAUAGCUGGUCUGAGAGGAUGAUCAGCCACACUGGGACUGAGACACGGCCCAGACUCCUACGGGAUGCAGCAGUGGGGAAUAUUGGACCAUGGGCGAAAGCCUGAUCCAGCAAUGCCGCGUGAGUGAUGAAGGCCUUAGGGUUGUAAAGCUCUUUUACCCGGGAUGAUAAUGACAGUACCGGGAGAAUAAGCUCCGGCUAACUCCGUG
rnacentral:rRNA from 1 species